UGAACGCUGGCGGCAGGCCUAAUACAUGCAAGUCGAACGAGAAAGCAUCUUCGGAUGUAAGUACAGUGGCGGACGGGUGAGUAAUACAUAGGAAUCUACCCAAUGGUGGGGGAUAGCUCGGGGAAACUCGAAUUAAUACCGCAUAAUCUCUACGGAGUAAAGGGGGCUUCGGCUCUCGCCAUCGGAUGAGCCUAUGCAGGAUUAGCUUGUUGGUGAGGUAAUGGCUUACCAAGGCAACGAUCCUUAGCUGGUUUGAGAGGAUGACCAGCCACAUCGGGACUGAGACACGGCCCGGACUUCUACGGAAGGCAGCAGUAGGGAAUAUUGGACAAUGAGCGAAAGCUUGAUCCAGCCAUGCCGCGUGUGUGAUGACGGCCUUCGGGUUGUAAAGCACUUUAGGUAAUGAGGAAAAAUUAGAUGUUAAUACCACCUAAUCAUGACGUUAAUUACAGAAUAAGCACCGGC
rnacentral:rRNA from 1 species